rnacentral:rRNA from 1 species
UAAGAGGUCCAGCCUGCCCGGUGACAAAGUUUAACGGCCGCGGUACCCUAACCGUGCGAAGGUAGCAUAAUCACUUGUUCUUUAAAUAGGGACUAGUAUCAACGGCAUCACGAGGGUUACACUGUCUCCUCCCCUCAAUCAGUGAAACUGAUCUCCCCGUGAAGAAGCGGGGAUAGAAUUAUAAGACGAGAAGACCCCAUGGAGCUUUAAGCUCAACAACACCUCCCCAUGAAUACAUCAUUAUAACUUACGAGCCCUGUUUGUUAGCUUUCGGUUGGGGUGACCGCGGAGUAUAAUAUAUCCUCCACGACGAAUAGGCCUAAAACCUUAAUCCAAGAGCCACUGCUCUAAGAAUCAUAAAAUUGACGUAAAAUGAUCCGAUUUUCGAUCAACGAACCAAGUUACCCUGGGGAUAACAGCGCAAUCCAUUUCAAGAGCUCCUAU